rnacentral:piRNA from 1 species
UGCCCUUGAAUUCUUAGCAAGUAUUGUGA